GUGCUGUAUAAAAGACCUUAGCUGGCUCAGUUCAGCCUCUUGCUGAUCCCUGGUGAUGGUUACUUGCUGAAGGUGAUGAUUCAGGGACAGAAGUCGAUGCAGAUGUGUUUGAGGAGCUUUUGCAAGCAGGGAACCUUACUGUUAGGGUGACAACUGAGAAGUCAACAGUUGCGCUUCAACAUGAUCUAUCAUUUGCUUUGUUGGAGUCACCCAUGUCAGACAACUCAUCUGAGUCAGUGUCAGAAGACUCCUUGCUAGUAUCCUCUGAUUCAUCAGAUGCAACAGUGAUUGUUCAGACAAACGGAGGGAAGAGAAGCCAUGCUGAACGGCAGUCGGCAAAAGAGAUGGUGAGAGAUGCUCUCCAGGCUAAACAAGGUUGGACAGAUUAUUUUGGAUGAAUAUGAUAAAAUGACAAUAUUGAUGGAUGGAACAAGGAGACAGUUG